rnacentral:misc_RNA from 1 species
CAAGUUUUGGGAUUGUUAAGGGUUCCG